CCUAACUCCACACGGCACGGUUGCCGUCAA
rnacentral:sRNA from 1 species